UUCAGGAGCCAUUGUACAUGCUUUAUGUUAGCUUUGGUGGUUCCAAAUGAAUUAUGUUGGAAGUCAUGUAAGAUUAAUAGUACUGAAUUGAUGAAUUAGUGCUUCAAUGUUCUACGUGGUGCAGACGCUGCAUGGAGUGGUGAGGGACAGUCGAACAGUGAUCGUGUCGAUCCAUCAGCCGAGCAAGAAGGCCUUUGAGCUUUUUGAUCAGUCGUGGUGUUCUCUCAGGGGGGAAAACAGUGUACUUUGGGCAGACCCGUGAGGCUUAUGAUUCUUUCCCAAGCUACCUUCCCAUGUCCACCGCCUCCAUGGAUUCAGGUAGAAGCUGGUCAUGUUGGCUACUGGAAGUCUGAUAGAGUGAAGAAUAAAAAGGCUGGAAAUUCCAUUGAUGAUGUGGUAACAGAAGAAUUGGAGGUGCCUUCUGGUAUUAAUAAAUCUGGCAGAAAGGUUUUUGCUGAUGUGGCCAUGUGGGUGGGUUUGGACCGGCUUGGUUUUCUGCUAAGGCCCUUGAUAUAGACUAACAUAGUGUAUUCAUCAGCUAUGAGGUCCACAGAGAAGAUGUUACAGGUCAGAAUGUCGAUGGUAGGCUUGAUGGGUAUUGCAAGUGUGCUUGGACUGGUUUCUUGCGGGAGGCACCCUCAAAUAAGAAAAGUGACGCUGCUGCUCUUUUGAAAGAAAAGGACGAGAUUAUCACUCAGGUCAUGGCUGAAGGCGAAGAGCUAUCGAAAAAACAAGCUGCUCAAGAAGCUACUAUACGAAAACUGAGAGCACGGACAUGGACUAGAUUCGUGAGUUUUAAGAAGAAAAGCAACGGCUGAACUCAAAGAUCCAGGU